UCAAGAAUAUUCCCCAAUGGACGCAAGUCUGAGGGAGCGACGCCGCGUGCAGGAAGAAGGUUUUCGGAUUGUAAACUGCUUUUCCAAGGGAAAAAAUUUGAUGGUACCUUGGGAAUAAGCCACUGUUAACUACGUGCCAGCAACAGCGGUAAUACGUAGGUGGCAAGCGUUAUCCGGAUUUAUUGGGCGUAAAGAGCUCAACGGUGGUUUUGAAAGUUAGAAGUUAAAUACCAAUGCUUAACAUUGGGAAUGCUUUUAAUACUUCAAGACUAGAGGGUAGAAGAGGUAAGCGGAAUGGUCGGUGUAGCGGUAAAAUGCGAUAAUAUCGACUAGAACGCCAAAGGCGAAAGCAGCUUACUGGUAUACCCCUGACACUUCAAGAGCGAAAGCGUGGGGAGCA
rnacentral:rRNA from 1 species